UCCCUUUCCUCUGUCAUCUUCUCACCUGUGAUCUGAGGACAGCUGAAUAGUGGUGCUUCCCUGCCACAGGUCAAGCCAAUCCAAGCUUGAAGCAAGGCUGCUAUGACAAGACUCUGUACUACUACAGGUUCUCAGCUGGUAUUUUUUCAGCUGGGAAAUUUAGUACUAAUCUUCCUCAGAGGGGCUAAGAUGAGUGUCAAGGAUUACUACUCUGCAGGAGCAGUUUCACUAAGAUUCACCCAGAAGGCUGAAAACACUUGUUUAAAAGCCACAGAAUGAGAGACAAUAUUUACAAACUGAAUAAAACCAAAAAAUUCAUUCAAUAAAUGUGAUUUUAUUUGUCAAUUUGGUUUUCUGAUUAGAUUUGUUUUGCAUUUCUUCCACUGAAGACAAAAUACAAACAAUACAGCAAUGUCUGCAAGGAACAUUCAUAAGAUAUCAGGUUUGAUAAAUAUAUAUUUGCACAAGGUGGCUUCAGGAACAAGUCAGAUGAUAAACAGCUUGAAAAAAAAGUCACUACUGUUCAGUGCUUAAGCUCUGAUUUAAAGAGGCAGCCUAAUGGCAAAUAAAACUACCCCAUGGAGACAAUCUAAGGAAGCUACCUUCUGCUUCAAAACACAACUAAGAGGACCUGAAAGUUCUGUUAGUCACAUGCUAGUAGCCAGCACAGACUAACUGGCACUGUAAUUUUGCAAGGAAGCUGUCUCAAUUUUAACAAAACAAAAACCAUAGCAAGGCAGCUUAAGCACACGUCUGGCAACCUAGAUCAAGUUGCCAGACAGAAACUAAGUCCUAGCUAUGAUUUUAUCAGCAGCGUAUGGAAGUUAGUCUGUCUAGCAAAGCAAGCAUAUAGGCUGCUGCACAAAACUUACACCUUCCUAGAACAAGACUAAACCUAUAGUUCUGCAAUAAUUGUGCAUUACAAAAUUAGAGCUUCCUGAAGACUGACAUCAAUGGCACCAAGAUCCUGGGUUUCUUAAGUCUUGGUAAGUAGCAACUGCUGACACCAAAGGAUUAUUUUAGUAACUAAGGCAAGUUCCCCCCCAUCAGUUUUUCCGACAUAUCUGAGGCCAGAGAUUUUAAAACAAUUAA